GUUGCAGUUAAAAGCUCGUAGUUGAAUUUCUGGCAUGGGCGACCGGUGCUUUCCCUGAAUGGGGAUUGAUUGUCUGUGUUGCCUUGGCCAUCUUUCUCUUUUCUUUUUUGGGAAGAAAUCUUUCACUGUAAUCAAAGCAGAGUGUUCCAAGCAGGUCGUAUGACCGGUAUGUUUAUUAUGGGAUGAUAAGAUAGGACUUGGGUGCUAUUUUGUUGGUUUGCACGCCUGAGUAAUGGUUAAUAGGAACAGUUGGGGGUAUUCGUAUUUAGGAGCUAGAGGUGAAAUUCUUGGAUUUCCGAAAGACGAACUAGAGCGAAGGCAUUUACCAAGCAUGUUUUCAUUAAUCAAGAACGAAAGUCUGGGGAUCGAAGAUGAUUAGAUACCAUCGUAGUCUAGACCGUAAACGAUGCCGACUUGCGAUUGUUGGGUGCUUUUUUAUGGGCC
rnacentral:rRNA from 1 species